rnacentral:rRNA from 1 species
UACGAAGGGGGGCUAGCGUUGCUCGGAAUCACUGGGCGUAAAGGGUGCGUAGGCGGGUUUUUAAGUCAGGGGUGAAAUCCUGGAGCUCAACUCCAGAACUGCCUUUGAUACUGAAGAUCUUGAGUCCGGGAGAGGUGAGUGGAACUGCGAGUGUAGAGGUGAAAUUCGUAGAUAUUCGCAAGAACACCAGUGGCGAAGGCGGCUCACUGGCCCGGGUACUGACGCUGAGGCAC